AAAGCCCACGGCUCAACCGUGGAGGGUCAUUGGAAACUGGAAAACUUGAGUGCAGAAGAGGAAAGUGGAAUUCCAUGUGUAGCGGUGAAAUGCGCAGAGAUAUGGAGGAACACCAGUGGCGAAGGCGACUUUCUGGUCUGUAACUGACGCUGAUGUGCGAAAGCGUGGGGAUCAAACAGGAUUAGAUACCCUGGUAGUCCACGCCGUAAACGAUGAGUGCUAAGUGUUAGGGGGUUUCCGCCCCUUAGUGCUGCAGCUAACGCAUUAAGCACUCCGCCUGGGGAGUACGACCGCAAGGUUGAAACUCAAAGGAAUUGACGGGGACCCGCACAAGCGGUGGAGCAUGUGGUUUAAUUCGAAGCAACGCGAAGAACCUUACCAAAUCUUGACAUCCUUUGACAACUCUAGAGAUAGAGCCUUCCCCUUCGGGGGACAAAGUGACAGGUGGUGCAUGGUUGUCGUCAGCUCGUGUCGUGAGAUGUUGGGUUAAGUCCCGCAACGAGCGCAACCCUUAAGCUUAGUUGCCAUCAUUAAGUUGGGCACUCUAAGUUGACUGCCGGUGACAAACCGGAGGAAGGUGGGGAUGACGUCAAAUCAUCAUGCCCCUUAUGAUUUGGGCUACACACGUGCUACAAUGGACAAUACAAAGGGCAGCGAAACCGCGAGGUCAAGCAAAUCCCAUAAAGUUGUUCUCAGUUCGGAUUGUAGUCUGCAACUCGACUACAUGAAGCUGGAAUCGCUAGUAAUCGUAGAUCAGCAUGCUACGGUGAAUACGUUCCCGGGUCUUGUACACACCGCCCGUCACACCACGAGAGUUUGUAACACCCGAAGCCGGUGGAGUAACCUUUUAGGAGCUAGCCGUCGAAGGUGGGACAAAUGAUUGGGGUGAAGUCGUAACAAGGUAGCCGUAUCGGAAGGUGCGGCUGGAUCACCUCCUUUCUAAGGAUAUAUUCGGAACAUCUUCUUCAGAAGAUGCGGAAUAAUGUGACAUAUUGUAUUCAGUUUUGAAUGUUUAUUUAACAUUCAAAUAUUUUUUGGUUAAAGUGAUAUUGCUUAUGCGAGCGCUUGACUAAAAAGAAAUUGUACAUUGAAAACUAGAUAAGUAAGUAAAAUAUAGAUUUUACCAAGCAAAACCGAGUGAAUAAAGAGUUUUAAAUAAGCUUGAAUUCAUAAGAAAUAAUCGCUAGUGUUCGAAAGAACACUCACAAGAUUAAUAACGCGUUUCCUGUAGGAUGGAAACAUAGAUUAAGUUAUUAAGGGCGCACGGUGGAUGCCUUGGCACUAGAAGCCGAUGAAGGACGUUACUAACGACGAUAUGCUUUGGGGAGCUGUAAGUAAGCUUUGAUCCAGAGAUUUCCGAAUGGGGAAACCCAGCAUGAGUUAUGUCAUGUUAUCGAUAUGUGAAUACAUAGCAUAUCAGAAGGCACACCCGGAGAACUGAAACAUCUUAGUACCCGGAGGAAGAGAAAGAAAAUUCGAUUCCCUUAGUAGCGGCGAGCGAAACGGGAAGAGCCCAAACCAACAAGCUUGCUUGUUGGGGUUGUAGGACACUCUAUACGGAGUUA
rnacentral:rRNA from 1 species